rnacentral:rRNA from 1 species
CGUUGCGAUCAUACCAACACUAAUGCACCGGAUCCCAUCAGAACUCCGCAGUUAAUCGUGCUUGGGCGAGAGUAGUACUAGGAUGGGUGACCCCCUGGGAAGUCCUCGUGUUGCAACCC